rnacentral:rRNA from 1 species
UACAGAGGGGGCAAGCGUUGUUCGGAAUUACUGGGCGUAAAGGGCGCGUAGGCGGCCUUCUAAGUCGGACGUGAAAUCCCCGGGCUCAACCCGGGAACUGCGUCCGAUACUGGAAGGCUUGAAUCCGGGAGAGGGAUGUGGAAUUCCAGGUGUAGCGGUGAAAUGCGUAGAUAUCUGGAGGAACACCGGUGGCGAAGGCGGCAUCCUGGACCGGUAUUGACGCUGAGGCGCGAAAGCCAGGGGAGCAAACGGG